rnacentral:rRNA from 1 species
UACAGAGGUCUCAAGCGUUGUUCGGAUUCAUUGGGCGUAAAGGGUGCGUAGGCGGCGCGGUAAGUCGGGUGUGAAAUCUCGGAGCUUAACUCCGAAACUGCAUUCGAUACUGCCGUGCUUGAGGACUGGAGAGGAGACUGGAAUUUACGGUGUAGCGGUGAAAUGCGUAGAUAUUCGGAAGAACACCAGUGGCGAAGGCGACUCACUGGACACGUAUUGACGCUGAGGUGCGAAAGCGUGGGGAGCAAACAGG